ACCUGGAUGGCUUAGUUGGUUAAGUGUCUGACUUUGGCUCAGGUCAUGAUCUCACGGUUCAUAGGUUCGAGCCCCAUGUCAGGCU
rfam:Felis catus isolate Cinnamon breed Abyssinian chromosome B2, whole genome shotgun sequence.